AGUCGUGGCCACGUACAGCACGUCCUGGGCGCCCAGGCUUUCGCUGUCAGCAGUGAGCUCUUGGAGGCGUUCGGCACUGAGAACCAUGGUUGCGUUUGUCACCACCUCCUGAGAGAGGUUCCGAAGGUGUAAGGUUUUCUCAGACGCAAGACGCUCGCACGUUCCUUGCACGUUCGCCCAGUAGGCCCCCGUUGUGAAGUUGCCUUCGCAGCGCCGCACUGCAGGUUGACCCUCACCCUGAAUGCAUGUCUCCUGUGGUAUGGCUACUCCUCCAGUAGGAGUUGCUGG